GACAGAGGGGGCAAGCGUUGCUCGGAAUUACUGGGCGUAAAGGGCGCGUAGGCGGGAUGGCAAGUCGGUCGUGAAAUCCCUCGGCUCAACCGAGGAACGUCGAUCGAUACUGCUGUUCUUGAGGAUUGCAGAGGAGACUGGAAUUCCCGGUGUAGCGGUGAAAUGUGUAGAGAUCGGGAGGAACGACCGGUGGCGAAGGCGGGUCUCUGGGCUGACACUGACGCUCAUGCGACGAAAGCGUGGGGAGCAAACAGG
rnacentral:rRNA from 1 species